rnacentral:rRNA from 1 species
GUCUACGGCCAUACCACCCUGAACAAGCCCCAUCCCAUCUGAUCUCAGAAGCUAAGCAGGGUCAGGCCUGGUUAGUACUUGGAUGGGAGACCACCUAGGAAAACCAGGUGCUGUAGGCG